GUUUUAUAUCAUCACUGUUGGACAACAAUAAAAAGGAAUCCAUAUUUUUGAUAUUUUUGACGUUUUUUUGACUUCCAUUGAAAAUUCAGAGGGUUUUUUUUCUUUUUUUUUUCAGAGGUUCCAGUACUUCUCAGUUAUAGAUCAGUGAAUGAACACAUACAGGUGAUCCAGACACACAGAGCAUCUAUCCAGAGUGAAGACAUCCCUCUGGUGAUCUCGCGGCGGCGGGCGGGACGUACCCGGUGGUGGCGGGGGGAGCCGCACUCUCUUCAUCCUGACCGGCCCCGGCCCAGUAUGCAGUUAAAGUGAUCAGGUAGGGAACUCGGAUGAACCCGGAGCAAGUGUGUGUGUGUGUGUGUUUGUGUGUGUAAGUGUG
rnacentral:lncRNA from 1 species